GGAAGGCUGUGGCCACCAGCCUGAGAGGACAAAAGGAGAAGAGGCAAGAACAGAGUUUGUCUAGAAAAUGUCAUCCUGAGUGAGGGUACCCAGACACAAAAGAACACACAUGUUUGGAUCUGAAGUAUCUCCUGAGGCUGGAUGGAUAGAGGCUCAAUUACCUGCCUGGACUCUGUGGCCAGAAGUACUUUAUGUACCUCUCUGAGCAAGAAAUUUAUGAAGAAUUCCCGGGAAAAGUAAUGGAAAACUACAACUAUCAUGUCAUGUCAUAAAAAGUAAAUAAUCUACUACUAUACUGAAGGCAGCUAUGUGUCAAGACUUGAAGACACCAAAUAAGCUACUGAGAUAAUUUUAGGAACUACAUAUUUAAUAUGAGAUUGCACAGAAGAAAUAGAAAUGGAUCAAAACUGGAGCUAAUAUUGAAGAGAUGUUGCCAAUGGACUAAAUCCAUAUAUUGAAGAAAGUGACAUCAUCUCCUCAGUAAAAUUAUGGAACAUCUGAUCUACAGAUAUUCUACAGUGACUUUCAGGAAGAUUCUAACUGAAUGCCUAAAAAUAGAACAAAGUAAAGCACAGCCUAGAGAUAUGAUGCUGUUGGCUCUUUUUUCUAUAUUCUGAAAAAAUACUCCCACUGAAAUGCAUGUGAUAUUUAAUAUUGUUUUCCAACUUAACAUGGUCUAGAAUAACCCAGGAGAGAAAGCAUCCCUUCUUACUCUAUCUGCAAUGCCAAAAACAGCUGAUUUCACCUUUAACAAGUUAAUGGGGGUGAAGACUAUAUUUUUAAGGACCAUUCCUCCAAUUCCUUAAAUGAGAAUUGUUGCGGAUAGCUCUGGGGCUAAUUGUAUUUGAUGUUAAUUCUGUCCUCCUGUGAGAGGCUACAAACAAGGAAUGAGUCUGCACUAAGGCUGCCACCAGAAAGUUUGAACCAAAUGUGAGGAAGAUCUUCCCACCUCAAGUAUCCAAUCAAGAAAAAUCCUCACACAUAUACACAGCAACUUGGCUUUGGUUAUUUCCUGGUGUUGUCAAGUUGACAUCCAAGAAUGGUCAUCAUGACUUCCAUUAUUAUGGAAGCCAAAAAUCCCUAAGACCUGUAGUUAGCAAGCAUGAAUUCCAUAAGUGGUGAUGACAUAAGUUUUGAUCUAAGAACAAAUGAUUUCAGAGCAAUGAGAAGACAACGUUUUAGCUCAAUUCUAAAUGCAGGAAAGGCGAAAGACCUAAAUGCUCCACUUUGAAAGUAAUAGAGAAGGAAGAAGAAAGAAUCUUCUUUAGCCCAUAUAGAGAGAAUCCCUUAUAAGCAUCACCUGUCUAUAAAAAAGCAUAUGGCCAUUGAGCUGAAAUUAGGAAGUAUAACAUCCAGCAAGGAUAGAGAGGAUUCUCAGAAAUAGUGAGAGGUAGGGGAAGAUUCUCUUGGGAAGCUGCUGAGACCAACAUAAACCAGCUGGUAGGUGAAGUUAGGUUAGAAAAAGAGAGAUUCAAGAUGGAACACUGAGGCCCAUAACUAAACACAAUAAAAGCAAUAUACAGC
ensembl:lincRNA